GUGGGGAAUAUUCCGCAAUGGACGAAAGUCUGACGGAGCAACGCCGCGUGAGUGAUGAAGGUUUUCGGACUGUAAAGCUCUGUUGUUUAGGACGAAAGUGCCUGUUGCAAACAGUUACAGGUAUUGACGGUACUAAACGAGGAAGCCACGGCUAACUACGUGCCAGCAGCCGCGGUAAUACGUAGGUGGCAAGCGUUGUCCGGAAUUAUUGGGCGUAAAGAGCAUGUAGGCGGGAAUCUAAGUCUGUUGUGAAAAUGCGGGGCUCAACCCCGUAUUGCGAUGGAAACUGGGUUGCUUGAGUGCAGGAGAGGAAAGGGGAAUUCCCAGUGUAGCGGUGAAAUGCGUAGAUAUUGGGAGGAACACCAGUGGCGAAGGCGCCUUUCUGGACUGUGUCUGACGCUGAGAUGCGAAAGCCAGGGUAGCGAACGGGAUUAGAAACCCGUGUAGUCC
rnacentral:rRNA from 1 species